GUGUGGGAUCCCUACCUUUCCAAGAGUUGGUCACAGUUCUCCCUCUCUUUCUAGAAAGCUUUUAAAAACGGGAAAGUCACUUUGCUCCAAGUUAGGUCUUGUUAUUUUGUAAAAGGCCGAUAUUUGUUUAACUCACAUCCCUGUCAGCUGACCUGAACUCUCCAAGUAGGACAGGAAAUCGGGGCAUAUUUGCUGAGUUUUGUUUGCAUUCCUGCCUGCUGCCAUGGGAGCUCUAGGGGAAGAAUAGAGAAGACACAGUCAUGACAUAUAGCCAAGCCUGCACUGUGUACCAACUUACAGGACUGUCAUCACAGCCUCUGAUUUAUGGCCCUGUGAGAGCAUCAUCACCCCUUUCUAGCGAAGUGCCCACCAAAGGGUGUGAAUGUUUGGAAUCGCCAGCGUGGACCAAUGCGCCAUUCGACACUCAGGAUUUUCACGCAUGCCAACAGAGGCGAGGGCAAAGGGAGAAGAUUGGUUCACCGAGUGCUGAUGUCACAAUGGCCCUUAACUCUUUGUUAACAUUUCCAUUCACCUCAAGGUGAGAACAUGCAACCCAUUCACAAAGCACAGAAGGGAAGUUUCGCUGGGCUGAUUGCAGAGAAGCAGAACAGAGGGGGAAGCAGCAAAGGUAUCAACACUUGUAAAACAGCGACUGAAUUCCCCACACACCCAAACCUCAGGCUUUUAUAUACAUUAUUUACACAAUGAGUCCUGUCUGAUUGGCUGAUUCUGCUUCCCUCCUGGAGCCUGAUUGGUCUUCUCCUGCAUGUGAAGGGACUGACCGCUGCCCAGUCCACCAGGGGACACAACACUCGCCUCGCCCUGGGUGCCAGCAACCCACGGUAUGUCCCAGCCCCAUUCUCCGUCAAUAAUUGCUCAAUGACUGCAGACUACCCUCCUCUCCAGUUUACAAGCUGCCAUUGCUUGCACCUUUCUUGCUUAUUUGAACACUUGUUGCCUCUUCACAAGGUUGCCUCUAUGUGUCAGCUCAGUGGAGAGGGGAUGGGCUGUAUCUGCUGACCCUGACAUCAUAUUGUACCCCACCCCACUCCUCAACAUUGGUGAAUUCAGUAUGCGCUACAUGAAAAGGGGAAUCCAGAUUGCAUGGGGUUCUGAAUCACAUGAAAUCCUAUGAGCACGCAACAGGACAUCCUCUUUGCAGAUGUCAUGCAGAGUAAGUUGGUGGGGGCAGAAGGUCAAUAGCUUUGCUCCCCACCCCAUUUAGGCUGUAUGUGGAGGUGACUUGUGAAAAGGCUGUGAUGGAGCACAGAAUAAUGUGUCUCUUAAUUUCAUUGAAAAGCAUUGCAGCUUGCGCACUGCAAUGGCUCUGCACAAGCUACCACUUCCUUCUAUAGUCAUUUUCUUAUAAAUAUGCAGAGUGAACGAGCUCUUACCUGCCUCAUUUGUCUUGCAUUUCAAUCCAAUAUUAUGCUUUGAAAGAAAUCCCAUUGGUUUUAGCAGGAGUAAUCUCUGUAUAAUGGAUUCAAGCUAGUAUGUUUGGUCUCUGGAAGAUUCAGGCCACCUCAUAAAACAAUUGUGGGGGCUGCCGAGGGCCAUUUUUAAUUUGCUACUUAGAUAUUGACAAUAUCCAGGUUUUGGUGGGUGUGAAAGCUUACACUGGAGGAAAGGGGGUGAAAAGCAAAACUGCCCAUGAUGAAACUGCCUUUUUUUUUUUGGAAAAUCUAUAGUAUGGCCAUGCUUGCUGUGCUGUGCAAAGUUCUAGUUCCUGCAAAUGAUGCUGUAGGAAAGGUAGAGGUGCAGAAAAGAGCAAUGAAAAUUGUCAGAGGAUGGAGAAAUUCAGAAUAGACAAACGUACUUCUUCACACAGUGCAUAGCUAAGGUGUAGAAUUCACCCCCACAAGAUGCAGUAGUGGCCACCAGUUUAGACAGCUUAAAAAGGAGAGUAGACAAAAUAUCAAAUUUGCAUUUUUCGGAACAAUAUGAGAACCAAACCACAGCUAUCCUUUGAAAUUGGAACUUAUCUGAAUUGUGUGGUGCAGUUCUCCAACCAACCAAGAUUUAGAAAAAAGCAUAUAUUUCAGGAGAGUGCAUAAAAAUCAUUUUAUUAGCAAAAAAUUAACAUGCUAAAGUGCUUUAUAGUACAUUAGUCAAGGCUGCAUACAGAAAAUGUGUGUAUUCUGUUGAAUUUUAAAAUCACAAUACAAUUUGAGAUGUAUAACAAUGGGUAUAAUAAUGCACUUAGUAUGCAAAAAUUGUAUUUAUUUAUUUAAAAUCAUUUACCAGCAGCUUAAUUUUUUAAUCUCUUAAGUGUUUGUAUGUACAAUAUAAAAACUAAACAAUAUCAUUAGAACAAAAAUGCAAUGCAAAACCAAUAAAACAGCAGCAUAAAAUCUUAUAAAACCAAAACAGAGGAUUGAAUCACCUAAAUGGCCUCAGCUCAGUAUUCCUGAAGAAGCGUCCCCACCCCCAUUGUUCAGUUCGGACACU